rnacentral:rRNA from 1 species
CGCUGGCGGUGCGCCUUAUGCAUGCAAGUCGAGCGAAGCUUUUCAGUAGUUUACUACAGAAAAUGACUGAGCGGCGAACGGGUGAGUAACGCGUGAGCAAUCUACCUUAGUUACAGGGAUAGCCCGAGGAAACUCGGAUUAAUACCUGAUAUUCUUUAUAUUUCGCAUGAAAUUAAAAGGAAAGGUCAGCCGAACUAAGAUGAGCUCGCGUUCUAUCAGCUAGUUGGUGAGGUAAAAGCUCACCAAGGCUACGACGGAUAGCUGGUCUGAGAGGACGAUCAGCCACACUGGGACUGAGACACGGCCCAGACUCCUACGGGAGGCUGCAGCAGGGAAUAUUGCGCAAUGAGCGAAAGCUUGACGCAGCGACACCGCGUGUGGGAUGACGGAUCUAGGUUUGUAAACCACUUUCAGGAGGGAAGAAAAUGACGGUACCUCCACAAGAAGCCCCGGCCAACUACGUGCCAGCAGCCGCGGUAAUACGUAGGGGGCGAGCGUUGUCCGGAUUUAUUGGGCGUAAAGAGCUCGUAGGCGGUUCAACAAGUCGGUCGUGAAAGUUCAGGGCUCAACCCUGAAAUGUCGAUCGAUACUGUUGUGACUAGGAUACGGUAGAGGUGAGUGGAAUUCCGAGUGUAGCGGUGAAAUGCGUAGAUAUUCGGAGGAACACCAAUUGCGAAGGCAGCUCACUGGGCCGCUAUCGACGCUGAGGAGCGAAAGCUAGGGGAGCAAACAGGAUUAGAUACCCUGGUAGUCCUAGCUGUAAACGAUGGAUACUAGACGUAGGAACUGGAUUGACGGUUUCUGUGUCGCAGCUAACGCGUUAAGUAUCCCGCCUGGGGAGUACGG